ACCCCGCUUCCCGCCGGGCCUUCUUCCCGCCGGGCCCCUUCCGCCUACCCACCGUUCCUCCGGCGAGAAAGUGACCUUGCUGAAUGCCCGCCAUGCACAUAAAAGCCAGUUACCCCAGGGGCCCUUCACCUCUCCUCGGUGGCGGCCAAGACCUCUUUGUCUCCCGCUCGACCCGCGGCCCCCCCGCCCCUCCUCGAUGCUUUCCCUUGGCCCGUCCUUGUCAAUCAAACCUGGUGCCAAACGCGGGAUCUCGAGUUCUCAGGGAUAUAUUUGUCCUCUCUUCCUGGAAGGCCAAUUAAUUACAAAGUGCGGUUUCUUUUCUUGUGUCCCACCAGAACAACUUCAGAGCCGGCCUAGAGGAAGCCUUGUGCUGCUGCUGUUUAUUCACAUCCAGCUGCUGGAAAGCACCGUUGGUAGACAUUGUUACGUUAGCUGGCUAGGCAGAGGCUGACUUCCACGACGGUAUUAAAGGACCCCAAGAUAUAAUGACUAAA